AUGAUGGCGCGAGCCGAAAAACUGAAGGGGGAUGUCAGCCUGUUAUUUAAGACUUGCAACGGCAUGACGGCGCGAAUGUUCUUGGUGGAUACACUCCAACAUCUUGGAAUAGAUCACCACUUUGAGGAGCAGAUCCAUGACUCUUUAAACGAAAUCCUAGAGAGUGACUUUAGUAGCUCAUCCAGCCUCCAUGAGGUCGCUCUUCGGUUCCGUUUACUUAGAGAGAAUGGGCAUUGGGUAUCUCCAGGUAUCUAA
rnacentral:rRNA from 1 species